AACAACUACACCAAGCAACCCAAGUGGGCCAGCCCAAGAGAAGCCUACCAGGCCGCAGCGCAGCAAGCAGCCCAACCAGCGCUACGCCGGUCCAGACUGGAGCCAGCGAAGCAGCCCUGCCCUACAUAGCGCGUGGUUGACGUGUGAGUGAAGGACACGAAGAAGUGAACCCCGACCCGGCCGCCUGUGGCGUGAUUUCUCCUCCCACCUCUGGCUCUUACUCCCCGAUCCCCUUCUUGCUGCUACUCUGGUUUUGUGCCACAUAUUUGAGGGAUUAAUCCAUAGCAAGCUAGUUCGAGAGGCAAGAUCCGUGUCAUUUGGUAUCAGAUUGCUGGUCCCCGCUUCCUCAUCCUGGCCCCGACGCGCACGAAGAGCCUCAAGGCAGUCAUGGCGGAUCUCGAUUUGCAGAAGCAGAUGGCGGAGGCGGCGGUCGAGCGUGGCGUCAUCGCCGCGGCGCUACUGGCGAUCCAGAAGUCGCUUGACAAGAUGGAGCCUACGGUGACCCGCAUGGAGCCCGUGCUCGCGUCGCUCGAGCCCAAGGUAGCCGAUCUGGCGGCGUGGCGCCCCGGCGUGGACCACGCAGUCGGGCAGCUCCAGACAGAUCUGGGCGAGAUCCGCGCCGAACUCGCCAAGAUCACUGCGCGACCCUUCUUCCAUGAGGCGGGCAAGGGCAGCACGAGCGGGAUCCAGCCCGCGGCGGACGCGCCUUUCUCCACCAACAACACCAGUGGCGACGACCACGGGCCCGAUGGCCACGGCAGGACUCUACCAGUACGGGCUUCGGUGGGGGGAGCCCCUUGCUCCCCGCACCGACCCCGGCCAAUGGUACGUACAGGACUCCCUUUCCUUCCGUUCCGCUGCUUGGUCCCGGUGAGAGUAGCGGCCCAGUAUCUGCACCGCUCAAUUCAUCUUCCCAUCUAGUGUGUCCUGAAUUUGAUGGGGAUAACCCUACGGGUUGGCGCAUCCGUUGCGAAGCUUACUUCCGAGUCUGUGCCAUUGAUCCCAGUACUUGGGUGGAUACAUCUGUGGUUUAUUUCACUGGUGCUGCAGCUCUAUGGCUCGAAUGGUCCCAAACUCAUGUUAAAUUUCCUCAGUGGGAGUACUUUGUUGCUGCUGUUCUAGAGAAAUUUGGUCGUUCUGAAUUUCAACACCUAGUUCGUAAGUUCUCUAGAUUAAAACAAACUGGUUCGGUUUUGAAAUAUGCCGAACAGUUUAACAUUGCUAUGCACAGCCUGUUAGCACAUCACAAAUCAUGGGAUCCCUUGUUCUUUACUACCCAAUUCCUUGAUGGUCUGCAUAGUGACAUUAAGGCAGCUGUUAUUUUGCAUCGCGCGGUCGACCUGGAAACUGCUGUUGCUUUGGCUGCAUUGCAGGAGGAGGCCCUGGAGCUUAUUCAGCAGGACCGUGCGGAGAUGGCUGCGACGAGUCCGCAGCAAGGAGGGGGGCACGCCUACCGCGCUUCGCCGCGCCCUCCAACCCCGCUAUCCAGUCCAGCAGCCACGCCCUCAGGCAAAACACCGUCGACACCGAGCAUUGGGGGCGAUGAUCGACGCAGUCCGGACAGCUCCAAGCCUCCUUCCACUCCCUCGUCUGUCGACGACAAGCUCAAGACGCUGCGUGCUUAUCGCCGUGCCCGAGGCCUCUGCUUCACUUGCGGCGAACGAUGGGGGCCAAGGCACACUUGUGCUGCCACUGUCCAGCUGCAUGUGGUCGAAGAAUUGGUGGGCAUGCUCAACAACCCCCCUUCGCCCGAGUCCGCCCAGCUGUCAGCCGACACUUCUGAGGAAGAUCUCUGUCUGCUCUCAGCGGCUGCUGCUACCGGCACCGAGUCCCCCCGAGCCUUCCGUCUGUUGGGUCAACUCAAGCAACGAUCCCUCUUGAUGCUGGUGGAUUCGUGAAGUUCGCACAGAACCAGAGUAGCAGCAAGAAGGGGAUCGGGGAGUAAGAGCCAGAGGUGGGACGAGAAAUCACGCCACAGGCGGCCGGGUCGGGGUUCACUUCUUUCGUGUCCUUCACUCACACGCCAACCACGCGCUAUGUAGGGCAGGGCUGCUUCGCUGGCUCCAGUCUGGACCGGCGUAGCGCUGCUUGGGCUGCUUGCUGCGCUGCGGCCUGGUAGGCUUCUCUUGGGCUGGCCCACUUGGGUUGCUUGGUGUAGUUGUUCCUGUGACAAAACUUCGCCCAUCUGAGCGGCAGGCUAAGCAAUGGCCGCCGAGGCGACGGCGGGGAGGGAAGCUAGCUAGGGUUUGGGGAGGGAUUUCAGGGGUCGGGGCGGCGGCUUGGAGAGAGAUGGGUCGGGCUACUCGGGCCGAGACGCCCACAAGAUUUAUUGGGCGGACGUACCCCUUGUGUUCUCGCGACUUGUCCCUCGUAAUUGCUUCACGUUCCACGUAUUUUCUGGCCUUUGCAUCCGAAACUACGUAGUAGUAGUACUCCAUCCUGAGUCCCAUGUUGCUGUGCUUAUUUGAUCGUAGGGUGAUGGGCAAGCAUCGUAGUAAGAGAAUUUAUCGUACCUAUAGCACAACUUCUUGGGACAGUAAAUUGGGCUAUUUCUCCGCCCUUCAAACAUCCUUACUCGUCAGCCGUUUUUUGUGUUUGGGACAUCAAUGGUCGUCCCAUGUUAAUUCAAGUCGCCAAGUGGGCCAACUUUCUAAUGAGCUGCUAUUCCCGUGGAAUUUUUGGAAGUGUGUGGUUAAUCUGGGUUCGUGGGUUUAUUGUGGACCAAUUAAACAUGUCUAGGCGAGGACCUCGCGACUCGCACCCAGCUAUCCCAUUCGUAUAUAGAAGACGAAUCUCCUUCUCGCUCUCACCCGCUCUAGUGGUUGUGCCGCCACUGGCACACCCACCGCUUCUCCCUUCACUCGCCCCCUCACCCUGCCUAUGCGGCCAUGUCGUUAUCACCUUCUAUCCUUCUUGCCGAUUCGCUGAUCCUCUUAUCUCCUCCUUUCCAUGUCAUUCACUUCAUUCUAUAGCGGCAACACCCUAGGAACCCCACCCGUGGCGGCAUGAAGUGAAACUGACGGGCCCUCUUCUUGUGGUGAUGUAAAGUUACGAUGUGGUGUGAGGUGAUGGCCAAGCGUCAUGGCGACCCAUCCUCACCUGGUAGCAUGAGACGAUGUUGAAUGCUCAUGGUAGUGCGAGGCGACGAUGAUGCUCACUGGGACCCCUCCUCUUGUGGCUGCUUGAGGUGAUAUCAAUGGCUCAAGGCGGCCUGAGACAAACACGACAACUAUGGUUCUUGAUGUUUGCCAUGUGAUGGAUGGGACCAUGGGAACACAUUAUCUAUGCAAUUUUCUUCGAAUGUAAGAGAAUAUGUUACUCCUUUCUCUACGAAAGAUCUCCAUACUAAUACAAAUGCAUUUAUGUUAGUUAUUCCAAGUCUGCUUGCUCAUACUAUAAUUUGUUGUCAUGUCCCGAUGUAUAAUUUAUUACCUUAGCUAAAGGGUUAAAAAGAAGGCGAGUACUCGUGAAAUUCCUUCUAGCUCGGAGGAUUCAGGGAACUCUUCCAGGUCGGAUUCAUACGACAUCUAAAGAUCAAAUUAGGAGGAUCAAACGAAUAAAAGAAUCUCUAGAAAUUAGAUAUAAGAUUCUUCAAACCAUUGAGGGUAAAUUUUCUUGGCUAGUACGGGCAUUAGCAUUCUUCUGGAAAAAAUAAUACUUGACAUGCAUGCACAUGUGCCAAACUAGCUCCAACCAUGAAUUGUGCAGAGGUAUAUGGAUUUGGCAAUGCAAAAACAAUAUCAACUUUUUUCUUAUGAAAUUGUGUAAGGUUAAACAUGGUUUUUCUAUUCUUUAUACUCCUUCCUUCCCAAAGUAUAGCUCAUA